GACAGAGGAUGCAAGCGUUAUCCGGAAUGAUUGGGCGUAAAGCGUCUGUAGGUGGCUUUUUAAGUCCGCCGUCAAAUCCCAGGGCUCAACCCUGGACAGGCGGUGGAAACUACCAAGCUGGAGUACGGUAGGGGCAGGAGGGAAUUUCCGGUGGAGCGGUGAAAUGCGCAGAUAUCAGGAGGAACACCAAUGGCGAAGGCAGCUCUCUGGGUCCCUACCGACGCUGGGGUGCGAAAGCAUGGGGAGCGAACAGG
rnacentral:rRNA from 1 species